rnacentral:lncRNA from 1 species
UAAGGUAAUGUAUAAUGGUUAUAAAAAAUUUUAAAAUAGAAGUCUGUUCGAUCUUUCUUGGUGAUCCGAUCUGAAUUGGAUUUUUUCCUUCAGAUAUUGGGUGACUGUCAUAGAGUCUCAAGGUAGAAGGUGAACUUACUAAAAUCUACUUUUUACUUUAGCCCAAAGACCAAAGGCCAGAUGAGAUAGAUGAUUAGAGAGCGGUUGGACAUAAUAGAGCAAAUGGGGACAUGCCACUACCUCAGGAUUCCUGUCACUAGAUGCAGCCCCG